rnacentral:sRNA from 1 species
AUCCAUUUGACGAAAUGUAUCCCUGUGAAAUAUAUUCUAGCAUUCUGAAUAAGAUAUGUAUCCUUUGUAAAACUGCAUGAUGAUCCAUAUGAAUUUGAUGAUGGUUAAAUACAGUGUAAGGUGUUCAAUUUAUGUACAGCUAUGCUCGCUUGGUUGAUAUUUUAUAAACUGUAAUAUAAUAAAAGAUUUUAUAAUUUAU